rfam:Felis catus isolate Cinnamon breed Abyssinian chromosome B3, whole genome shotgun sequence.
GCCUGGGUGGCUCAGUCGGUUGAGCGUCUGACUUCAGCUCAGGUCAUGACCUCAUAGUUCGUGAGUUCGAGCCCCGCGUUGGGUU